rnacentral:tRNA from 1 species
GGAGGAGUGGCCGAGCGGUCAAUGGCAGCAGACUGUAAAUCUGCCCUCUUACGAGUUCGAAGGUUCAAAUCCUUCCUCCUCCACCA